AGGAACCACCAGCUGACCUACCCAUUGAUGUUUAUGAGGAUCCCGUGGAUCCACAAAACUUGAGUGAAUGAUUGUUCCCGCACUCUGAUGAGUCCAAUAGUAUAGUGAAAGAAGCGGUCCUCUUUUGUAUUUUGACUUUGUAUUUUACAGCAACUUCUGGCCUCAGUUAUAUAUAUGUAAUUGGAACUCAUAUAUUUGUAAGAGAUUUGUAUUAAUUUGCUCUGCUGCAUAUAGUUUUUAUCAUGCACUCGUAAUUUUGUUUAUGUAUUUGACACCUACAUGCCUUAAUUAGCAUUUAGGAUGUCACA
rnacentral:lncRNA from 1 species